rnacentral:rRNA from 1 species
CUUAUGAAGUAUAUAAUUUCAUUGGAAUACAUAAAUCAUCAUACCCCUUUUGUCUUGGGCAACACACGUGCUACAAUGGCUAGGACAAAGAGUUGCGAUCCCGCGAGGGUGAGCUAACUCCAAAAACCCGUCCUUAGUUUUGGAUUGUAGUUUGCAACAUGCCUACAUGAAGCUGAAAUCACUAGUAAUCGUCGGUCAGUCAUACGACGAU